GCGGAUGUAGCUCAAUCGGUUAGAGCGCCGUCCUUCCAAGUCGGAGGCUCAGGGUUCGAGUCCCUGUAUCCGCUCCA
rnacentral:tRNA from 10 species